rnacentral:rRNA from 1 species
AUUGAACGCUGGCGGCAGGCCUAACACAUGCAAGUCGAACGAGUGGCGGACGGGUGAGUAAUGUCUGGGAACCUGCCGGAUGUAGGGGGAUAACUACUGGAAACAGUAGCUAAUACCGCAUACCAUCAGAUGUGCCCAGAUGGGAUUAGCUAGUUGGUGGGGUAACGGAUCACCAAGGCGACGAUCCCUAGCUGGUCUGAGAGGAGGACAAGCCACACUGCAACUGAGAUACGGUCCAGCCCCUAACGGGAGGCGGCAGUGGGGAGUAUUGUACAAGGGGCGCAAGCCUGAUGCAGCCAUGCCGCGUGUAUUAAGAAGGCCUUGGGGUUGUAAAGUAAUUUCAGCGGGGUGGCUUUACUCGCAGAAGAAGCACCGGCUAACUCCGUGCCAGCAGCCGCGGUAAUUC